rnacentral:lncRNA from 1 species
CAGCAAAGAUGCCUGUAAAACAUCCAAGAGGAUAAACAAGCUGAGAGAAAAAUCUAGGCCAGAGAUAUAAGUUUGGGGAUUUGGGGCUUCAUGCUGGUAUUUUGAAUCAUCAGAGUAGAAUUAUAGCCACUGGACCAGGAUGAUGAUUCUGCCUCAAGAGCUGAAGUCUGAAGAGCUGUUGAAGACAGAAAUCUAGAAGAGGAGGGGACACACAUGAAUGAGGGGUAAAAUGGCCAGAAAAGUUGGAAUAAAAGAAGAAAAUGGGAAAGAGUGGAGUCAGAGAAAUCAAGACAAUAGCUUCCCAAGAAGGGGGAAGAAGCUGCUGUCAAAAGUUACUGAGAAGUUCAGUACAGUAUUGACUGAAAAGAAACUGGUACAGUCAUUAUUAACUUUGGCUGCAUUUUGGAAUUAACUGGAGAAAGUUUUCUAAAACAGGAAUUAUUUUUGGUUUUUGAAUUUUUUGGUAUCCACCUCCAAGUCUUUUGAUUUAAUUGGGCUUGCAUAUGGAAUGUCUGGAUUUUAGAAGUUUUCCAAGGCAUUCUUAUGCCCAAGAUGGAGAACCAGUGAUCAGAUGGAUUUGGUGAUAUGGCAUACUUGUAGGUCUUGGCAGAACUGUGGGCUAGAAGCCAAAUUUCAUAGGUUGAGGAAUCAAAUCAUCUAUUACAAUUUACCUUUUUCGGUUCUUUUUAUAGAGCAGUGUUAUAGUUUUCCCAUGUUUCUAAUCUAAUCAACUGAACUUUUUGCUAAUAACCUUGUCUUUAGUUCAGCUCACCUCAGUUCAGUUGCCCAGUCAUGUCUGACUCUUUGUGACCCCAUGAAUUGCAGCACGCCAGGCCACCCUGUCCAUC